rnacentral:tRNA from 1 species
CGGGGAUUCAGCUCAGUGGUAGAGCGCUUGCCUAGCAAGCACAAGGCCCUGGGUUCGGUCCCCAGCUCCGA